rnacentral:rRNA from 1 species
CAGUGCCCAAAUCGUUACGCCUUUCGUGCGGGUCGGAACUUACCCGACAAGGAAUUUCGCUACCUUAGGACCGUUAUAGUUACGGCCGCCGUUUACUGGGGCUUCGAUUCGUAGCUUCGCAGAAGCUAACCACUCCUCUUAACCUUCCAGCACCGGGCAGCCAUCAUUUAAAGAGUGCGUAAUAGCUCACUAGUCGAGUGACACUGCGCCGAAAAUGUACCGGGGCUAAACAUAUUACCGAAGCUGUGGAUUGUCCUUUGGACAAUGGUAGGAGAGCGUUCUAAGGGCGUUGAAGCAUGAUCGUAAGGACAUGUGGAGCGCUUAGAAGUGAGAAUGCCGGUGUGAGUAGCGAAAGACGGGUGAGAAUCCCGUCCACCGAUUGACUAAGGUUUCCAGAGGAAGGCUCGUCCGCUCUGGGUUAGUCGGGUCCUAAGCUGAGGCCGACAGGCGUAGGCGAUGGAUAACAGGUUGAUAUUCCUGUACCACCUAUAAUCGUUUUAAUCGAUGGGGGGACGCAGUAGGAUAGGCGAAGCGUGCGAUUGGAUUGCACGUCUAAGCAGUAAGGCUGAGUAUUAGGCAAAUCCGGUACUCGUUAAGGCUGAGCUGUGAUGGGGAGAAGACAUUGUGUCUUCGAGUCGUUGAUUUCACACUGCCGAGAAAAGCCUCUAGAUAGAAAAUAGGUGCCCGUACCGCAAACCGACACAGGUAGUCAAGAUGAGAAUUCUAAGGUGAGCGAGCGAACUCUCGUUAAGGAACUCGGCAAAAUGACCCCGUAACUUCGGGAGAAGGGGUGCUCUUUAGGGUUAACGCCCAGAAGAGCCGCAGUGAAUAGGCCCAAGCGACUGUUUAUCAAAAACACAGGUCUCUGCUAAACCGUAAGGUGAUGUAUAGGGGCUGACGCCUGCCCGGUGCUGGAAGGUUAAGAGGAGUGGUUAGCUUCUGCGAAGCUACGAAUCGAAGCCCCAGUAAACGGCGGCCGUAACUAUAACGGUCCUAAGGUAGCGAAAUUCCUUGUCGGGUAAGUUCCGACCCGCACGAAAGGCGUAACGAUUUGGGCACUGUCUCAACGAGAGACUCGGUGAAAUCAUAGUACCUGUGAAGAUGCAGGUUACCCGCGACAGGACGGAAAGACCCCGUGGAGCUUUACUGUAGCCUGAUAUUGAAAUUCGGCACAGCUUGUACAGGAUAGGUAGGAGCCUUUGAAACGUGAGCGCUAGCUUACGUGGAGGCGCUGGUGGGAUACUACCCUAGCUGUGUUGGCUUUCUAACCCGCACCACUUAUCGUGGUGGGAGACAGUGUCAGGCGGGCAGUUUGACUGGGGCGGUCGCCUCCUAAAAGGUAACGGAGGCGCUCAAAGGUUCCCUCAGAAUGGUUGGAAAUCAUUCAUAGAGUGUAAAGGCAUAAGGGAGCUUGACUGCGAGACCUACAAGUCGAGCAGGGUCGAAAGACGGACUUAGUGAUCCGGUGGUUCCGCAUGGAAGGGCCAUCGCUCAACGGAUAAAAGCUACCCCGGGGAUAACAGGCUUAUCUCCCCCAAGAGUUCACAUCGACGGGGAGGUUUGGCACCUCGAUGUCGGCUCAUCGCAUCCUGGGGCUGUAGUCGGUCCCAAGGGUUGGGCUGUUCGCCCAUUAAAGCGGUACGCGAGCUGGGUUCAGAACGUCGUGAGACAGUUCGGUCCCUAUCCGUCGUGGGCGUAGGAAAUUUGAGAGGAGCUGUCCUUAGUACGAGAGGACCGGGAUGGACAUACCUCUGGUGUACCAGUUGUCGUGCCAACGGCAUAGCUGGGUAGCUAUGUGUGGACGGGAUAAGUGCUGAAAGCAUCUAAGCAUGAAGCCCCCCUCAAGAUGAGAUUUCCCAACUUCGGUUAU